rnacentral:tRNA from 1 species
UGUGACUUAGUUUAGAAAAAAAUAUUUGUUUUUGGUGCAAAAGAGUUUAGUUACAU